rnacentral:rRNA from 1 species
UACGUAGGGGGGCUAGCGUUGUCCGGAAUCAUUGGGCGUAAAGAGCGCGUAGGCGGUUUGUCGCGUCUGCUGUGAAAUUUCGGGGCUCAACCCCGAACUUGCAGUGGGUACGGGCAGACUAGAGUGUGGUAGGGGAGACUGGAAUUCCUGGUGUAGCGGUGAAAUGCGCAGAUAUCAGGAGGAACACCGAUGGCGAAGGCAGGUCUCUGGGCCACUACUGACGCUGAGAAGCGAAAGCAUGGGGGAGCGAACAGG